rnacentral:rRNA from 1 species
AAGGAUCAUUAAAAAAGGAUACUGGGCAACCGGUAGACCCCACCCGUGUCUCUCUACUCUUGUUGCUUUGGCAGGCCGUGGCCUCCACCGCGGGCUCUGCCUGCGUGUGCCUGCCAGAGGACCAAACUCUGAAUUUUAGUGAUGUCUGAGUACUAUAUAAUAGUUUAAAACUUUCAACAACGGAUCUCUUGGUUCUGGCAUCGAUGAAGAACGCAGCGAAAUGCGAUAAGUAAUGUGAAUUGCAGUAUUCAGUGAAUCAUCGAAUCUUUGAACGCACAUUGCGCCCGGUGGUAUUCCGCCGGGCAUGCCUGUUCGAGCGUCAUUAUAACCACUCAAGCUUGGCUUGGUAUUGGGGCUCGCGGUUCCGCGGCCCCUAAAAUCAGUGGCGGUGCCGGUGGGCUCUAAGCGUAGUAAAUCUCCUCGCUAUAGGGUCCCUCCGGUUGCCUGCCAGAACCCCCCCAUUUUUUUAGGUUGACCUCGGAUCAGGUAGGGAUACCCGCUGAACUUAA